rnacentral:rRNA from 1 species
AUUGAACGCUGGCGGCAGGCCUAACACAUGCAAGUCGAGCGGAUGAAGGGAGCUUGCUCCUGGAUUCAGCGGCGGACGGGUGAGUAAUGCCUAGGAAUCUGCCGGGUAGUGGGGGAUAACGUCCGGAAACGGGGGCUAAUACCGCAUACGUCCUGAGGGAGAAAGUGGGGGAUCUUCGGACCUCACGCUAUCAGAUGAGCCUAGGUCGGAUUAGCUAGUUGGUGGGGUAAAGGCCUACCAAGGCGACGAUCCGUAACUGGUCUGAGAGGAUGAUCAGUCACACUGGAACUGAGACACGGUCCAGACUCCUACGGGAGGCAGCAGUGGGGAAUAUUGGACAAUGGGCGAAAGCCUGAUCCAGCCAUGCCGCGUGUGUGAAGAAGGUCUUCGGAUUGUAAAGCACUUUAAGUUGGGAGGAAGGGCAGUAAGUUAAUACCUUGCUGUUUUGACGUUACCAACAGAAUAAGCACCGGCUAACUUCGUG